AUUGAACGCUGGCGGCAUGCCUUACACAUGCAAGUCGAACGGCAGCGGACCUUCGGGUGCCGGCGAGUGGCGAACGGGUGAUUAAUGCAUCGGAACGUACCUUUCAGUGGGGGAUAACGUAGCGAAAGUUACGCUAAUACCGCAUAUUCUGUGAGCAGGAAAGCAGGGGAUCGCAAGACCUUGCGCUGAUCGAGCGGCCGAUGUCAGAUUAGCUAGUUGGUGAGGUAAAGGCUCACCAAGGCGACGAUCUGUAGCGGGUCUGAGAGGAUGAUCCGCCACACUGGAACUGAGACACGGUCCAGACUCCUACGGGAGGCAGCAGUGGGGAAUUUUGGACAAUGGGGGCAACCCUGAUCCAGCCAUGCAGCGUGAGUGAAGAAGGCCUUCGGGUUGUAAAGCUCUUUCGGCCGGGAAGAAAUCGCACGGGCUAAUACCCUGUGUGGAUGACGGUACCGGAAUAAGAAGCACCGGCUAACUACGUGCCAGCCGCCGCCGUAACAC
rnacentral:rRNA from 1 species